GACGAACGCUGGCGGCGUGCUUAACACAUGCAAGUCGAACGGCAAGGCACUGAGUUCGUGGGGUGAUCGAGUGGCGAACGGGUGAGUAACACGUGAGUAACCUGACCUAGAUUUUGGGAUAAGUUAAGGAAAGUGGGGCUAAUACAGGAUAGGAGCCCACGCACGAUGGAGGGGGUGGGAAAGUUUCGGCGGGUGGGGAUGGACUAGCGGCUUAUCAGCUUGUUGGUGGGGUAGGGGCAGCCCAAGGAUUUGACGGGUAGGCGGCCUGAGAGGGUGGCCGGCCACAAUGCGCCUGAGAGACGGCCCAGUCUCCUACGGUGGACAGCGGUGGAGAAUAUUGUACAACGAUCGGAAGUCUGUUGCAGCGACGCCGCGUUCGUGAUGACGGCCUUCGGGUAGUGAACCGCUUUCGCCUGUGACGAAGCGGUAGUGACGGUAAUGGGUAAAGAAGCACCGGCUAACUACGUG
rnacentral:rRNA from 1 species